rnacentral:rRNA from 1 species
GAUGAACGCUAGCGGCAGGCUUAAUACAUGCAAGUCGAACGGUAACAUGAGUGCUUGCACUUGAUGACGAGUGGCGAACGGGUGCGUAACGCGUAUACAACUUGCCUAUCACAAGGGGAUAGCCCAGAGAAAUUUGGAUUAAUACCCUAUGGUAUUAUAGAGAGGCAUCUCUUUAUAAUUAAAGCAUUGUGGUGAUAGAUGGGUAUGCGUCCCAUUAGCUAGUUGGUAAGGUAACGGCUUACCAAGGCAACGAUGGGUAGGGGUUCUGAGAGGAAGAUCCCCCACACUGGCACUGAGAUACGGGCCAGACUCCUACGGGAGGCAGCAGUAGGGAAUAUUGGGCAAUGGAGGCAACUCUGACCCAGCCAUGCCGCGUGUAGGAAGAAUGCCUUCUGGGUUGUAAACUACUUUUAUAUAGGAAGAAUAUGAUUAUGCGUAAUCAAAUGCCUGUACUAUACGAAUAAGCACCGGCUAACUCCG